rnacentral:rRNA from 1 species
AUUGAACGCUGGCGGCAGGCCUAACACAUGCAAGUCGAGCGGACGAAGGGAGCUUUCUCCUGGAUUCAGCGGCGGACGGGUGGGUAAUGCCUAGGAAUCUGCCUGGUAGUGGGGGAUAACGUCCGGAAACGGGCGCUAAUAUCGCAUCCGUCCUGAGGGGGAAAGUGGGGGAUCUUCGGACCUCACGCUAUCAGAUGAGCCUAGGUCGGAUUAGCUAGUUGGUGGGGUAAAGGCCUACCAAGGCGACGAUCCGUAACUGAUCUGAGAGGAUGAUCAGUCACACUGGAACUGAGACACGGUCCAGACUCCUACGGGAGGCAGCAGUGGGGAAUAUUGGACAAUGGGCGAAAGCCUGACCCAGCCAUGCCGCGUGUGUGAAGAAGGUCUUCGGAUUGUAAAGCUCUGUUAGUUGGGAAGAAGAGCAGUAUGUUUAUACGUUGCUGUUUUGACGUUACCAACAGAAUAAGCACCGGCUAACUUCGUG